GACAGCUAGGUCAUUUCCAGUUCGUAGGGGUUAUGAAUAAAGUUGCUAUAAAGACUUGUGUACAGGGGGAAAGCUUCAGUUUUUCAUUAUUUAAUGUGAUGGCUGUAGGUGUUUUGAAGAUGCUCUUUGUCAGGAUCCAUCCAGGGCACUAUC